rnacentral:lncRNA from 1 species
GGAGGCCGGGUGGGGCCACUUGGCCGGGCAGCCACGCCGCGGUCUGGGACUGUCCUGAAGGUGAAUUCCAGUGCCCCGGAAGGAAUGACAGGCAGCGGAGUCCUGCCAUCUCCUCCGAAAAAUGUCUGCUGUGGGAUGAGAUCAACUACCAUUGCCAUGUUGUUUGCUGUUUGGAGCUGGUAUGAUUCUAGGUUUGGUUGGAAGGCUGCAGGGUACAUGCUUGGUUUAAUGGAGGUCAUGGCUAUUGCUAGAGAGCCUAGAAGUCACUGCUCCACUGAAGGUGAGAAUGGCCAUGUCUUUGCCUCAAAGGAGGUUGCGUUCAUUCCUUUCGAGUGUUUUACUGAAAUUGUUGCUGUUCAGUUGCUCAGUCGUGUCUGACUCUUUGAGGCCCCAUGGACUGCAGCACAUCAGGCUUCCCUAUCUUCCACUAUCUCCUGAAGUUUGCUCAAAUUCAUGUCCGUUGAGUUGGUGAUGCUUUUUUACAAAAAUAUUUAAGCAUGUUUCCUUUCUUUUGACUUCUUGCUAUUUUUUUUUUUUUUGCUGCUGUUGUUAUUGAAUGGCUUGCCUCAGUUGAAGAGUUCAUUUGGUCAGUGUUUGCAGUAGGAUGUGGGUAUUUUCCACAUUCUUAACUUGUG